UUUUAUCUCAUUGGAUUGUCAUAACCUUGAGAGUUGCUCCAGUUAUCUCUCACAAUGCAAUCCUCGACAUCCAUUUAUUUUGAAGCUGAACUUCAAGAAUGCCUUCGUUGAUUUAUUGCAUUCAUGGUAUGGUGACAUGACAACAUGCUUCUGACCCAGAUGCAAUCUUAAUAGAUCAGCUUCUACAUUU